GGCAGUGUAGCAUAGUGGUUAAGGAGCAGGACUCGUGACCGAAAGGUUGCCCGUUCGAUUCCCCGCUGCUG
rnacentral:tRNA from 1 species